rnacentral:misc_RNA from 1 species
UUUUGAAAGAAAAAUGAUGGCAUAUAUAUAUAUAAAAUCAUCCAUUUCUUUAAUUUCGGUCUGAAGCUGAUCAGAGGUAGAAAAUGUAUUAUCUAACGCUGGUGGCUUAUUACAUAUACUUCAAUUCUUCCAAAGUUUUGUAUGCUCUUUGUGUGCUGGUGUUGGGUUUGUUUUACAUCUAUGUGAUCUCAGAAAAUAUGAGAGAUACUCAGAAAGUGGCAACUUGGCUCUGCAACCAAGAGGUGAUCAUCAGCAACUUGGUGUAUCUGCAAUUUGAAGACUGUUCUUCUGGUAGUGCAUCAUCUUCUCCUCCUCAUCAUCAUCACUCAUCAAAUCACUCCUAUUAUAGGGUUUCACUCUUGUCUAGGGCUACUGGAUGAUUUUGUUUUUGCAUUUAAUAAUUUCUUGUUUCUUCUAAUUAUUUUGCUACAAAUGUAAUAGCAUUUAGAAACGGAGGUUUCUCGUAAAAAA